UUGCCCGACCCUUUUAGCUUUUCUGGCUCACACACAACUUACUUUCCUUUUGGAUAUGGAAAACAGGGAAGAGAGGGUAGUGUGACAUUAGCACUAAUUUCUAGCAGAUUUUUAACUGCCCCUGAUGCUCGUUCAUCUUUGCAGUGUGGGUUUUCAUGCUGACAAAUCCUCUGCUUUGCCUUCUGCUCACAGUCAGCUGGGCCCUUUAUUGAACAGAUUUAUCUGCUACAAGGCUACGCAGAAGGAUGGAAAGGAGGAACACAGGGGGAAAAAAAAUAGCUUCAAGGCCGUGCAUUGAUCAUCUGAUGUACUCUAGAGACAAACGUGGCUAUCAGAGAGGCUGGUUCUGGGGUAAGGAGGAAACACGAGGCCUAAACACCUCUGGCUUGUCUGUCCAAGGAUCUGCCUCAAUUGUGGCUCCCAUCCUUCUGAAGAACUCUUCAGCACAGUGAGUUACCUUCUAUAACUAUUUAUUGUUGUAUUGUUGUUGUGAGACCUCAUUGCUGGGUGAGAGGACCAGGGGAAAUUAAAGGCUGUAUGCCACUGUUACUUCA